rnacentral:rRNA from 1 species
GGGCUGCAGUAUUUUGACUGUACAAAGGUAGCAUAAUCAAUAGUCUCUUAAUUGGUGACUUGUAUGAAAGAUUGGAUGAGAUAUAUACUGUCUCUAAUUAAUUUAUAGAAUUUAAUUUUUUAGUAAAAAAGCUAAAAUAAUUUUAAAAGACGAGAAGACCCUAUAGAGUUUAAUAAUUUAUUUAAUUAUUAUUAAUAUAUAAUUUUUAAAAUUAAAAUUAAAUAGAUUAUUUUAUUGGGGUGAUAGAAAAAUUAAAUUAACUUUUUUUUAUUAUUUACAUUAAUUUAUGAUUAAAUGAUCCAUUUAUAAUGAUUAAAAGAAAAAAUUACCUUAGGGAUAACAGCGUAAUUUUUUUUUUUAGUUCAAAUAGGAAAAAAAGUUUGCGACCUCGAUGUUGGAUUAA